UACGAAGGGUGCAAGCGUUAAUCGGAAUUACUGGGCGUAAAGCGUGCGCAGGCGGUUUUGUAAGACAGGCGUGAAAUCCCCGAGCUCAACUUGGGAAUUGCGCUUGUGACUGCAAGGCUAGAGUGUGUCAGAGGGGGGUAGAAUUCCACGUGUAGCAGUGAAAUGCGUAGAGAUGUGGAGGAAUACCGAUGGCGAAGGCAGCCCCCUGGGACAUGACUGACGCUCAUGCACGAAAGCGUGGGGAGCGAACAGG
rnacentral:rRNA from 1 species